rnacentral:lncRNA from 1 species
UAGGGCUCUAAUCUCGGGUUUGGGGAUCUUGCUCCUCAGCUUGUCCGCUCCGAGGAGGUGCACAGGGCGGGGAAAAAGGGAUGAAUUUCCCUUUAUACCGCCCUGCUCAGAUAUUUAUAUGUUCCUUCUAUUUUUCUUGAUGACAAUAAUUGUAAUAGUUACAAUAAAAAUAGUGAUUGUCUGUGGCAGAGGAGCUGAAUGAAACGAGGGUGGAGACAGGAAGAUCAAGAAUAAAUGGUUUCACAAAUCGAAGGGAUUGUCUCUUGAGACGCUGAUUAUUUCAGUGGCACGAUUUAAUGUUUCCUAGAGGAAAUGUUCUUCCUGGAAAUGAGGAUCAUAACCCAGCUGGCUCCAGAUUUCGGAGCGAGGAGGCACAAAUUCUACAGUAUGCUUCAGGGCAACGCGAGUGGGGCUGUAAUGAAGAACAGUCUGUUUCUGGAAGAUGCCAACAUGCUGAACUGACCCAAUCCCCA